rnacentral:rRNA from 1 species
UACAGAGGUGGCAAGCGUUGUUCGGAAUUACUGGGCGUAAAGGGCGCGUAGGCGGCCUUCUAAGUCAGACGUGAAAUCCCCCGGCUUAACCUGGGAACUGCGUCUGAUACUGGGAGGCUUGAGUAUGGGAGAGGGAUGUAGAAUUCCAGGUGUAGCGGUGAAAUGCGUAGAUAUCCGGAGGAAUACCGGUGGCGAAGGCGGCAUCCUGGACCAUAACUGACGCUGAGGCGCGAAAGCUAGGGGAGCAAACGGG